rnacentral:lncRNA from 1 species
UUUAAUCCAAUUCUUAAUGCAUUUUUGGAUGAUUAUUUGAUGUAAAAUGGUGAAUUUUAUACUCCUAAUACUUUAAAUUCAUGUUUCUAUUCUUAGAAGAGCAUUUGGGAGCAAAAGGAGUGAAAAACGAGUGAAAAUUAGAAAAUUGGAGCAAGGUACAGGGACAACACGGGCUAGGUACACAAUUGUGUGAGCCACAUAGCCAUGUGCCAGACCGUGUGAAAAUCACAAAUUGCACUCCAAACACGCGGAAAAAUGUAAUUUUGAGGUUUCCC